rnacentral:rRNA from 1 species
UACGGAGGGUGCAAGCGUUAUCCGGAUUUACUGGGUUUAAAGGGUGCGUAGGUGGGCAAGUAAGUCAGUGGUGAAAUCUCCGGGCUUAACCCGGAAACUGCCAUUGAUACUAUUUGUCUUGAAUACUGUGGAGGUCAGCGGAAUAUGUCAUGUAGCGGUGAAAUGCUUAGAUAUGACAUAGAACACCAAUUGCGAAGGCAGCUGACUACGCGAGUAUUGACACUGAGGCACGAAAGCGUGGGGAUCAAACAGG